GGAUUCCCAUCGGAGUUGUGCUUGGUUAUGUUCUUCAACUGCACGUCAAAGUGAGUGUUUUCAUCCCCCAUACUUUCAGUUGCUUAAAUUGUAGAAGAAGAAGAAGAAAAAAAUGAAAUAAACAGUACCAGUUGUAUUUUAAUAUUUGUAAUGCAGUCCAAAAAGUUGUAUUGGUUUAGAUUAUUUGCUUCAUGUACUACAUUGUCUGUCUUGAUCUAAUAAAAUUUUCUUGGAAUUUGAAACAUGGUCCAAUCUGGAAUAUUGUAGAAGUAAAUGGAAUGAUGUGGCUAGUAAAUGGAAUGAUCUGGAAUGCAGAAGUAAUUUUCUUGUAAACAUGUACUAGUUUUGAUUAGGAAUUAUGUGGCUAACAUGGGUUUCUGGUUAUGUUAUGUCUUUCCUAGCUCUCAUUUCAGCUCUGUCCUUAAUUUGCAUGGUGCUACUUUUUAGUCCAUUUAAAUGAGGCAUGUAUCACCAUGGGUCGUUAAACUAUACUUGUAUUAUCAGGGAUGGCUAUGUCAAUUGACUGAGG
rnacentral:lncRNA from 1 species